GACAGAGGGUGCAAACGUUGUUCGGAAUUACUGGGCGUAAAGCGUGCGCAGGCGGUUGUGCAAGACAGAUGUGAAAUCCCCGGGCUCAACCUGGGAACUGCAUUUGUGACUGCACGGCUGGAGUGCGGCAGAGGGGGAUGGAAUUCCGCGUGUAGCAGUGAAAUGCGUAGAUAUGCGGAGGAACACCCGUGGUGCAGACGGCUUGCUGGACCGUGACUGACGCUGAGGCACGAAAGCGUGGGUAGCAAACAGG
rnacentral:rRNA from 1 species